CCUUAAGGAAGCGGUGCGGAAGCAGGGACAAGAAGCCGCGGGAUCUCUUCGGUCCCCCAGGACCUCCAGGUGCAGAAGUGACCGCGGAGACUCUGCUUCACGAGUUUCAGGAGCUGCUGAAAGGUCAGCCGCCCUGCACUGCCCAGAGACCAGACGUGCCUGGGCCCUGUGCUGACCCUGCUGGCCGCCUGUGCCCUCCUCCCCACAGAGGCCACGGAGCGCCGGUUCUCAGGGCUUCUGGACCCGCUGCUGCCCCAGGGGGCGGGCCUGCGGCUGGUGGGCGAGGCCUUUCACUGCCGGCUGCAGGGUCCCCGCCGGGUGGACAAGCGGACGCUGGUGGAGCUGCAUGGUUUCCAGGCUCCUGCUGCCCAAGGUGCCUUCCUGCGAGGCUCCGGUCUGAGCCUGGCCUCGGGUCGGUUCACGGCCCCCGUGUCCGGCAUCUUCCAGUUCUCUGCCAGUCUGCACGUGGGUGAGCCGGAUGGGGCAGUGCCGUGUGCUGUGACGGGGCUGGGGCUGAGCUUUCUGGGGGCGCCUGGCAUCGCCGGCCCCGGGUGCGGGUCCUGUUAGGGACCUAUCCCCUGCCCCAUGGGGGGCCUUGGACUGGGCAUGGGGUCCCUGCUGCACGCCUGGCCUCAGGCGCCCCCUCC
rnacentral:lncRNA from 10 species